AGUAGGGUGGCUGAGAGAAUAAGCGGUGGAUUGUAAAUCCAUAAACAAAGGUUAAACUCCUUUUUCUACUA
rnacentral:tRNA from 1 species